rnacentral:ncRNA from 1 species
AGAAUGCAUCCGGGUGUUCGACAUGAUGAGCCGUGCUUGAAUCUUUGGAGUGGCCUCAUUAUGGGGCUUCACCAGGGGCAAGCACUGCGAGUCUGUUGUUCUGAGAAAUACCGGCGAACUUGAUCUGGAUAAUACCAGCGAAAGGAUAUGCUUCUUGGAACUC